GUUCUAAUAGUUUAAAUAAAACUUUGGUCUUGUAAAUCAAAAAUAAGCUCUUACUUUUAGAACU
rnacentral:tRNA from 1 species